UACGUAGGGGGCGAGCGUUGUUCGGAUUUACUGGGCGUAAAGGGCGCGUAGGCGGUCGUGACAAGUCACUUGUGAAAUCUCCGAGCUUAACUCGGAACGGUCAAGUGAUACUGUCGGACUAGAGUACAGAAGGGGCAACUGGAAUUCUCGGUGUAGCGGUGAAAUGCGUAGAUAUCGAGAGGAACACCUGCGGCGAAGGCGGGUUGCUGGGCUGAUACUGACGCUGAGGCGCGAAAGCCAGGGGAGCGAACGGG
rnacentral:rRNA from 1 species